rnacentral:rRNA from 1 species
UACGUAGGGUGCGAGCGUUGUCCGGAAUUACUGGGCGUAAAGAGCUCGUAGGCGGUUUGUCGCGUCGUCUGUGAAAUUCUGCAACUCAAUUACAGGCGUGCAGGCGAUACGGGCAGACUUGAGUACUACAGGGGAGACUGGAAUUCCUGGUGUAGGCGGUGAAAUGCGCAGAUAUCAGGAGGAACACCGGUGGCGAAGGCGGGUCUCUGGGUAGUAACUGACGCUGGAGGAGCGAAAGCGUGGGUAGCGAACAGG